rnacentral:rRNA from 1 species
GACGAACGCUGGCGGCGUGCUUAACACAUGCAAGUCGAACGGAAAGGCCCUGCUUUUGUGGGGUGCUCGAGUGGCGAACGGGUGAGUAACACGUGAGUAACCUGCCCUUGACUUUGGGAUAACUUCAGGAAACUGGGGCUAAUACCGGAUAGGAGCUCCUGCUGCAUGGUGGGGGUUGGAAAGUUUCGGCGGUUGGGGAUGGACUCGCGGCUUAUCAGCUUGUUGGUGGGGUAGUGGCUUACCAAGGCUUUGACGGGUAGCCGGCCUGGGAGGGUGACCGGCCACAUUGGGACUGAGAUACGGCCCAGACUCCUACGGGAGGCAGCAGUGGGGAAUAUUGCACAAUGGGCGGAAGCCUGAUGCAGCAACGCCGCGUGCGGGAUGACGGCCUUCGGGUUGUAAACCGCUUUCGCCUGUGACGAAGCGUGAGUGACGGUAAUAGGUAAAGAAGCACCGGCUAACUACGUG